rnacentral:tRNA from 1 species
GAGUCAGUAGCUGAGUGGAUAACGUGAUGGCGUUUCAAGGUGACGGUACUGGGUUCGAGUCCCAGCGUAAAC